rnacentral:rRNA from 1 species
UACGAAGGGGGCGAGCGUUGUUCGGAUUUACUGGGCGUAAAGGGCGCGCAGGCGGCCAUUCAAGUCAGGCGUGAAAGCCCCGGGCUUAACCUGGGAGGUGCGCUUGGGACUGGGUGGCUAGAGUGCGGCAGAGGGGGAUGGAAUUCCGCGUGUAGCAGUGAAAUGCGUAGAUAUGCGGAGGAACACCGAUGGCGAAGGCAAUCCCCUGGGCCUGCACUGACGCUCAUGCACGAAAGCGUGGGGAGCAAACAGG